GCCCUUAUAGCUCAGUGGUAGAGCGCAGCACUCGUAAACGUGAUUCUAUACAUGAUUACCUACCAUACAGGUGUUCUUGGAAAAAGUCACAAAUUGCCAAUGCUGAGGUCCAUCGUUCAAUCCGGUGUGGGGGCA